rnacentral:rRNA from 1 species
AAACGACUNUCGGCAACGGAUAUCUCGGCUCUCGCAUCGAUGAAGAACGUAGCGAAAUGCGAUACUUGGUGUGAAUUGCAGAAUCCCGUGAACCAUCGAGUCUUUGAACGCAAGUUGCGCCCGAAGCCACUAGGCCGAGGGCACGUCUGCC